rnacentral:tRNA from 1 species
GCCGAGUAGGGACGCUGGUGCGUCCGGCGGUCUCAUAAGCCGCGGCAGGCAGGUUCGAUUCCUGCACUCGGCAC